GAAUGGAAAGUGGCGUAAGGGUGAGUACCUGGGUAAUUUACCUUCACGCUGGGGAUAACUUCUCGAAAGGGAGUAAUGUGAUUGAAGUAACUUCGGUUAUUUCAAUUAAAGGUGGGGACCUUCGGGCCUACCGUGUGAAGAUCAGCCCGCGCCCUAUUAGCUUGUUGGUGAGGUAACGGCUCACCAAGGCGACGAUGGGUAGCCGACCUGAGAGGGUGACCGGCCACACUGGGACUGAGACACUGCCCAGACUCCUACGGGAGGCUGCAGUCGAGAAUCGUUCGCAAUAGGCGAAAGCCUGACGACGCAAUGCCGCGUGUAUGAAGAAGGCCUUCGGGUUGUAAAAUACUUUGAGCAGGGAAGAAAGCUUACAUGUUAAUAGCAAGUAAGUUUGACGGUACCUGCAGAACAAGCCCCGGCUAAAUUCGUGCCAGCAGCCGCGGUAAUACGAAUGGGGCAAGCGUUGUUCGGAUUAACUGGGCGUAAAGGGGGUCUAGGUUGUUUACUAAGUUUCCUGUGAAACCCGGAGCUCAACUCCGUGGAUUGCAGGGAAAACUAUUAACUAGAGUGUGCGAGAUGCGUGCGGAAAUACUGGGUGUAGCGGGUGAAAAUGCGUAGAUAUCCAGUAGAACACCAGCGGCGAAAGCGGCCCGCAUGCGCACUACUGACACUGAAGCCCGAAAGCGUGGGGAGCGAACAGGAUUAGAUACCCUGGUAGUCCACGCCGUAAACGAUGUGCACUAGAUGUGGGUGGUGUCGACCCUACCCGUGUCGUAGCUAACGCGUU
rnacentral:rRNA from 1 species